UGGUUGGGAACCUCGAUCUUUUUAGUGAUUAAAUUAAACAGACGCUUACAACAAAACUGAAUCUCAGUAGUGGUGUUAUUUAGUAUCAAUUACAGGUCAUUUUGAACUUUUUUAUUUCGCAUGUAGCACAGGCACUCACGUAGUCAAUUCAAUAUGAAUCCCAAGUUUUGGCUCCCAGUUGCGUCCUGAUGUCCCGGGUUGGUGUAUUUCAAGCUGCUGUCCAAUGUCCAACAGCGGAAAACUCCUUUGGAGGAAUGUUCCUCAGAGGCCACACCUUUAAAACAAGCAAGGUUGGAUGGCCUGCAGGGUGUUAUUUGAUGAGCGAAGAAGUCACGUGUCAAAGCUACAAUUUCGUCAUUGGUCAUAAAGUCUGCGAGCUGAACAAUCGAACCAAGGAAGCGAGACCUGAAGAUUUUAGGCUCGCCGGAUCAGACAAGGUUCUACAUGAAAAGGGCAAAAACAGAGUCCCGCUUGGUUCCAUUCAAGAGCUUCCUGCUGAAUCGUGCAGUGAGAUCAAGGCUAGUGAAGGAAAUGAAAUGGUUCACGGGGAUUACUGAAUAUACUCUGACGGGAAUGAUCAGAAAAUCCUGGCUCGCUGUGAAGAGAACUGGCAGAAAUUAAACACAGAACCCGUUUGCUUUGGGGCGCUAAAUGAGCAGUACGGCGCCUUUAACAUCACGAAGAGUGGACUUCUCAAGACGAUGAAGCUCGUUCGCAAGUGGGGCUGGGUCAGAUGCAACCCGAAAGACACGAAAUCCUUCUGGGGCUGCUCAAAUGUACUAAGGUAUGGCAACAACAGCUUACAGACUAUCAUUACCAAUGCAAAGAGAGAAGCCAUCCUGCCACCUGCUGGAGACCUGAAAGUACAAGAGUGUGACAACAAAAAACACUUUUACAGUCUUAAUGGAACUACCCACACAUCUCCUGAGCUCAUUUUCCCGGACCUUCCUAACAAGCUGCCUGUGUCACGCAAUCAGGAGUUGCAGAUAUGGUACGGACAGGAUUGGAUCGAUUGUGAUGAAGGUGACAACAGUGGCGAAACAUGUGUUGAUGUGUAUGCGUGGUAUGCUUUAACAUGAGCAUCUGACUUAUUCGAAGCAGUAGGUGUUUAUAGACACUGAAAAAUUAACGUAAACGCGGCUCAUAUCUAUCUUCUCUUGUAUUGAAUCUUGUAACUUAGCGCACAAAUGCAGGAAGACAUUCACGGAAUAAAAUGCUAAGAAUAGUAGAAAUAUGAAAGUAGCGUCGAGCAAUUACCAAGACGACGAAGCAUUGUAUGUACUAUACUUUUUUUUACCUGGCUGUGAGGGCUAAUGUAGUAAUUACGCAUCUAGGCUGUCACGAAAGUUUUUGAAGCUCCACUUUUUCUCCAACAGCAGUCUCAUUCCAAACUACAGUACAUGUAUCAAAC